GUGCUCGCUUCGGCAGCACAUAUACUAAAAUUGGAAUGAUACAGAGAAGAUUAGCAUGGCCCCUGUGCAAGGAUGACAUGCAAAUUCGUGAAGUGUUCCAGUAUUAA
ensembl:snRNA U6 U6 spliceosomal RNA